GACGAACGCUGGCGGCGUGCUUAACACAUGCAAGUCGAACGGAAAGGCCCUGCUUUUGUGGGGUGCUCGAGUGGCGAACGGGUGAGUAACACGUGAGUAACCUGCCCUUGACUUUGGGAUAACUUCAGGAAACUGGGGCUAAUACCGGAUAGGAGCUCCUGCAGCAUGGUGGGGGUUGGAAAGUUUCGGCUGUUGGGGAUGGACUCGCGGCUUAUCAGCUUGUUGGUGGGGUAGUGGCUUACCAAGGCUUUGACGGGUAGGCGGCCUGAGAGGGUGACCGGCCACAUUGGGACUGAGAUACGGACCAGACUCCAACGGGAGGCAGCAGGGGGGAAUAUUGCACAAUGGGCGGAAGCCUGAUGCAGCAACGCCGCGUGCGGGAUGACGGCCUUCGGGUUGUAAACCGCUUUCGCCUGUGACGAAGCGUGAGUGACGGUAAUGGGUAAAGAAGCACCGGCUAACUACGUG
rnacentral:rRNA from 1 species